CAGAGGAUCUACUUCUAUCGUCUCUCUCUGACUGACUGUCCACUUUGUGUCUUAGAAGCUGCUGAGUUGACAUCUUUAGUCUGAAGACGAUGGACAAACUGUCUGUCCUGCUGACGGUGAUCUGUCUGCCCUGUUUUAACAGUCAGGCUCUGGAGUCCAUUACCUCCACUUCAGUGUUGAAAAAGCCUCAGGAAAGCCUCAGUCUUUCCUGCCGGGGAUCAGGUUUCGAUUUUAGUCACACUUAUGGGAUGCACUGGAUCAGACAGCCUGCAGGGAAAGCUCUUGAAUGGAUGGGGCUUAUUUACUAUGAUGCAAGUAAAACAAGUUUAUUUUUUUGUUAUAAAACCACUAGAAGUGUUCUGAAAGUGUCACAUCUGAUGGUUUUCUUUUCUGUCUCUUCAGGUGUUGAUGGUCAGACUCUGACACAAUCUGAACCAGUGGUUAAAAGGCCUGGAGAAUCCCACAGACUGACCUGUUCAGCCUCUGGGUUCACAUUCAGCAGCUACUGGAUGGCUUGGGUCAGACAGGCUCCUGGAAAAGGACUGGAGUGGAUUGCUUAUAUUUACCCAUCCAGUUCUUAUAUCUAUUACUCCUCGUCAGUCCAGGGCAGAUUCACCAUCUCCAGAGAUGACUCCAGCAGUAAACUCUAUCUUCAGAUGAACAGUCUGCAGACUGCAGACACUGCAGUGUAUUACUGUGCCAGAGACCCACAGUGAGAGACAAGAGCAGGAGAGUCGUACAAAAACUACUUCCUCUAUUUACCACCAUCACGGGGAACAUUCAUAUUUAUCAGCAUUGAUACUGUUAUCUACUGGAAGAGAUGAAAAUUCAG